GACGAACGCUGGCGGCGUGCUUAACACAUGCAAGUCGAACGGACGAGUGAGAUAAGUUUACUUAACUCACAAGUUAGUGGCGGACGGGUGAGUAACACGUGGAUAAUCUACCUGCAACACCGGGAUAACGCUGUGAAAACGGUGCUAAUACCGGAUACGUUCCCUUGUGCGCAUGUAUGAGGGAAGAAAGCUCAGGCGGUUGCAGAUGAGUCCGCGGCUGAUUAGCUAGUUGGUGAGGUAAAGGCUCACCAAGGCGAUGAUCAGUAGCCGGCCUGAGAGGGUGAACGGCCACACUGGGACUGAGACACGGCCCAGACUCCUACGAGAGGCAGCAGUGGGGAAUCUUCCGCAAUGGACGAAAGUCUGACGGAGCAACGCCGCGUGAGUGACGAAGGUCUUCGGAUUGUAAAGCUCUGUUCUUCGGGACGAAUGUACAGACUGUGAAUAAUGGUUAGUAAUGACGGUACCGAAGGAGAAAGCCACGGCUAACUACGUG
rnacentral:rRNA from 1 species